rnacentral:rRNA from 1 species
GAACUGAAGAGUUUGAUCAUGGCUCAGAUUGAACGCUGGCGGCAGGCCUAACACAUGCAAGUCGAGCGGAUGAAGGGGGCUUGCUCCUGGAUUCAGCGGCGGACGGGUGAGUAAUGCCUAGGAAUCUGCCUGGUAGUGGGGGAUAACGUCCGGAAACGGGCGCUAAUACCGCAUACGUCCUGAGGGAGAAAGUGGGGGAUCUUCGGACCUCACGCUAUCAGAUGAGCCUAGGUCGGAUUAGCUAGUUGGUGGGGUAAAGGCCUACCAAGGCGACGAUCCGUAACUGGUC